rnacentral:rRNA from 1 species
GAUGAACGCUGGCGGCGUGCCUAAUACAUGCAAGUCGAGCGAACAGACGAGGAGCUUGCUCCUCUGAUGUUAGCGGCGGACGGGUGAGUAACACGUGGAUAACCUACCUAUAAGACUGGGAUAACUUCGGGAAACCGGAGCUAAUACCGGAUAACAUGUUGAACCGCAUGGUUCAACAGUGAAAGACGGUCUUGCUGUCACUUAUAGAUGGAUCCGCUCCGCAUUAGCUAGUUGGUAAGGUAACGGCUUACCAAGGCAACGAUGCGUAGCCGACCUGAGAGGGUGAUCGGCCACACUGGAACUGAGACACGGUCCAGACUCCUACGGGAGGCAGCAGUAGGGAAUCUUCCGCAAUGGGCGAAAGCCUGACGGAGCAACGCCGCGUGAGUGAAGAAGGUCUUCGGAUCGUAAAACUCUGUUAUUAGGGAAGAACAAAUGUGUAAGUAACUAUGCACGUCUUGACGGUACCUAAUCAGAAAGCCACGGCUAACUACGUG